UCUUGUGUACAUGCCUAUAGCAUAACAUUAAUUCAUAAGAUCUCAUUAGAACUCCGUAGUUAAGCAUGCUCAGGCUAGGGUAGUACUGGGAUGGGUGAUUGCUUGGGAAGUCAUAGUGUUUUACAUGGC
rfam:Picea glauca, whole genome shotgun sequence.